rnacentral:rRNA from 1 species
UACAGAGGGUGCGAGCGUUAAUCGGAGUUACUGGGCGUAAAGGGCGCGUAGGCGGUCAUGUAAGUGAGAUGCGAAAUCCCUGGGCUUAACCUAGGAAUUGCAUUUUAAACUGUGUGACUAGAGUACAGUAGAGGGUGGCGGAAUUUCCGGUGUAGCGGUGAAAUGCGUAGAGAUCGGAAGGAACACCAGUGGCGAAGGCGGCCACCUGGACUGAUACUGACGCUGAAGCGCGAGAGCGUGGGGAGCAAACAGG